UACGUAGGGGGCUAGCGUUGUUCGGAUUUAUUGGGCGUAAAGAGCGUGUAGGCGGCCAGGUAGGUCUGGUGUGAAAACUCGAGGCUUAACCUCGAGAUGUCAUCGGAAACCAUCUGGCUAGAGUCCGGAAGAGGAGAGUGGAAUUCCUGGUGUAGCGGUGAAAUGCGCAGAUAUCAGGAAGAACACCAAUGGCGAAGGCAGCUCUCUGGGACGGUACUGACGCUGAGACGCGAAAGCGUGGGGAGCGAACAGG
rnacentral:rRNA from 1 species